GAUGAUGUGGAUAAUGACGAUGGCAACAAUGCUGAUGAUGGUGAUAUAAUGGCGACAUUGGUACUAUUGACUUCUCAUUGAACAUUGGAUUCUGAGGGAAAAGAAAUGGGAAAGAUGUUAAAGAAAUUUUUAUGAAGAAUAUAAGUAAAAAAGGAAAAAAAAUGUAUCUGAUAAAAUAGCUAUUGAACAAUUGGUUACAAGUUUCCAGCAGACUAAUCACUGACUCUCAGCAUAUUUGAUGGUAAGAAUGACAAAGGGCUGUCUCAUUUGCUGGAACCAAUAGCACAGAGGCCAUCUUUUAAAUUUAAGUGUGAUCGCCUUUUAGUUUCCUUGCUGAUACUUAUUGCUUUAUA
rnacentral:lncRNA from 1 species